AGAGUUCCUUAUUAUCAUUAUUAGGAUAAAUUUUACUUAACAUGUUGUUGUCCAAAAUUAAAAUAAACUAGUAUAGUAUUUGUAUAUGCAAGAACUAAGAAAACAUACAUACAAGUAUAAAAAAUGUGAAAGAAUAUAUAAACACUCGUGAUUUAUCAUUAUUCCUCCACUAACAGAUAAUGAUUACACUUACAUUAUCGUUUAGAUUUUUAAAAUCCUCCAAACCCUCAU
rnacentral:lncRNA from 1 species